rnacentral:lncRNA from 1 species
GGGAGGACAAAUGAAAAGAAAACCAGCAGGACUAAAAUCCAGUGUUUAGAGUGUAUAUGAAGGGAAAUCAGACCAUUCCUGGAUAGCGGUCCUCUCACCCCCUACCCUUCACCCCAGACCUGGCAUACACACCAUCUUAGGAGAGGAAUGAACUGACAGAAGGGAGCCAACCACUCAGCGAUGGCCUGGCUGACUGAACAGACUUACAUUCACUGUAUCCUUCUAGUUGGGUGCAGCAGAGUGAUACAUAUUUAACACACGGAUUCAGAGAAGCCAAAAACACAAUAGGACCGAAUGACCCGUCCGGCACCUAGCACCUGUGUCUUGUAAACAACUGAGCUCCAAGGCCUGCUAGCGGUGGGACACAUCCACAUCUGGUAACCCAUAGUGGUCCAGCACCUGCGAGGGGUGGGAUACAUCCAUGUCUGGUAAAUGGUAGCACUCUAUCACUGGCGAGUGGCAGGACUGUGGGUCAGAGAUGGCACGUCCAACACAGGUAAAAGGAAAAAAAAAAGGCUGCCCACUGCACCCACAUACAAUGGCAGCACUCUGUGUGGAACAUUCAGUGCCUACCCAUAAUUCCCAGCAGGAUUUGCAUAUGUGUGCAUGGCGGUGGGGGAGUCCUCCAACCUGAGGACUGCAAGGGGCAGGAAAGACCAGUUAUGCACAAAUAUACAGGGCUGAGGUAGAUCUGUGAGCGGAGUCACUGGAACAGAGGUCAGAUAGUGACAUGGUGGAGCCAGAACAGACAGGCCUGAGAUGGUAUGAGAGUGAUCACUGUUCUGGCUCAGCCAUGUCACUAUCUGACCUAUGUGCCAGUGACUCCACUCACAGAUCUGCCCCUCACCCUGUGUAUCUGUGCACAAUUGAUUUUUCCUGCCCCUCGAAGUCGUCAGCUAGGAGGUCUGCACUCCCCUUGCCCAGAGCACUGCCUGAAUCCAGGUAACGUGCUCAGAGGGAGUAGGAGCCCUCACCUUUGGGUAGACAUUUCUCUGGCCCGCAGGGGGAAAUUGCAUGGUUGCUUGAAAUUAUACUGUGAUGUCAGUGGAAGGGAGCUAUGUAGACAUUUUGGAUUAAUGCAAUAAUAACUGUGUAAAGGUUUUUAUUUUGGUUAUAUUUGUUAUAUCCUUGCUUUGUUUGAUUUGGGCCAUCUUGGGUUGUGUAUUUUUUUCCAUUUUUUCUUUUCAGUUUCUUCUAGUUCUCCUUUAUUGGUAUUGUUUGGUUGUUAAACUUUUAAUUUUCAAGGUUUUUGCGUUUGACCUUCUACUGUACCUGUUUCUCUUCUCCUAUUUUUGAUCUCUUCCCCUCCCUAUUCUUUUUCCUCCUCUCUUCCUUAUUAUCUUGCCUCCUCACCCUCCCUCCCAUCCAAUGGCAUAAAUAUAACAGAGGCCUGAAUAAAUGCAUUAGAAAAUAAGAAUUAAUCAGUGCUAUAAAUUUAAACAGUACCAAUCAAGGGCAUAUGAGGCUAAUCUUU